rnacentral:rRNA from 1 species
GAUCCUGGCUCGGGAUGAACGCUAGCGACAGGCUUAACACAUGCAAGUCGAGGGGCAGCGGGGUGUAGCAAUACACCGCCGGCGACCGGCGCACGGGUGAGUAACGCGUAUGCAACUUGCCUAUCAGAGGGGGAUAACCCGGCGAAAGUCGGACUAAUACCGCAUGAAACAGGGAUCCCGCAUAGGAAUAUUUGUCUAAAGAAUUACUAUCGCUGAUAGAUAGGCAUGCGUUCCACUUAGG